AAUGGAAUAGCUGGGUCAGAUGAUGGCUCCAUUCCCAGUUUUCCAAGGAAUGUCCAUACUGCUUUCCAGAUUGGUUUCAUGAAUUUGCAGUCCCACAAGCAAU
rnacentral:pre_miRNA from 1 species